CAGUCGCCGCGGUAAUACGAAGGGGGCUAGCGUUGCUCGGAAUGACUGGGCGUAAAGGGCGCGUAGGCGGAUCGUUAAGUUGGGGGUGAAAGCCCGGGGCUCAACCUCGGAAUUGCCUUCAAUACUGGCGAUCUUGAGUAUGGAAGAGGUAUGUGGAACUCCGAGUGUAGAGGUGAAAUUCGUAGAUAUUCGGAAGAACACCAGUGGCGAAGGCGACAUACUGGUCCAUUACUGACGCUGAGGCUCGAAAGCGUGGGGAGCAAACAGGAUUAGAUACCCCUGUAGUCCCUGUCUCUUAUAA
rnacentral:rRNA from 1 species